rnacentral:lncRNA from 1 species
UGAUGAAUGAGGUGGAGGAUGAUUGGUGAGGUGAAAUGAGGUGAAAGGGGUGGUUUGGGUCGGGUUUGGAUGUCAACGACCAAGUGCCGCGGUCAGGGGCUGCACGACCGCGGCAAUCAAGCACUUGGCCGCGGUCAGGACUACGCUACCGCGGCCGACGGUAGGUUUCCCGCGGUCCGAACAACUGCGACCGCAGGGGCUUAUAUCGCGGCCUCUUCCUGCUUCUCCUUGGUUCCUGCUGGGCUGAGCAGUCAGGUACCAUCCUUCUUUUU